AUGCUUGUGUGGGAGUUUAGAAGCGUUUGCGUUUUUUUUUUUGAAAGACUCAUCUCUCUGACAGCUAGUGCAGACUGCAAAGCACAUCUGAAUGUCAAAAUCGAUACUAAUCCUAUUCCUUCAGCUCUCUACGAUUCACUAUCAAGUAUCAGCACAAUCCAAAAGGGCGUGUACAGCUAAUGAGUUCAUCUGUACCGACGGCCAGUGUGUAUCAUCCCAAAAGAGAUGCGAUGGAAACUUGGAUUGCCAUGACCGUUCUGACGAAAAUUGUU